AUGCCCAGUCACAUUCCAGCUCACCCUCUACUCCUGGUCCCUCUGAACUGCAGCCCGGACCCUGUGCUGUUAUCUCCAGUGCCUGGCCCCCUCCCACCCGCACCUGGUCCCUCCUGGGUCCACAGUGAAGCUGGAGGAGUCAGGGUCAGACCCAGAAGCCCAGUCUUACUGGAACUGCUGCCCCAUCCUCAGACACACACACACACACACCCCCAGAGAAAACCACUGCUCUCGGCAAACCUGAGUGCUCCACCGAACGUUGGCUGCCUCCCGUCUGCCCGGACGCCUACUCCUCCCUGGGGAAAAUGCCUUUUUCUCCCCGGACCCCACCCUGAGGGGUUCUGGUCAGUCGGGGCGAGGGCCGCCCUGCUCUCGGCUCAGGCGGGGCGGGUGGGCGAGAGUGCCCGCUCCGGGGAAGGCUGCGGCGCUGGUCUGACCCGGGAUUCCCCGCAGGAGUCAGGGGUCUGGUCCUGGGCAACUCCCACCUCCUUGGAAGGCGGCGGGCACUCUCCCAGGAGACCCCCUAGGCUGGCAGAGGCCCUUGGUGGCCUUCCCACCAUUCUGCCUCCUCUACUGCCGAUUAACAUGCGCCACGGGCAGCAGAGGGCAGGUCUAGCUUCAGCCCUGCUCCUGAGGCCAGGAAGGCGCCAGUGGCGUCGCCCCCCCCCCCGCCCGCCGCCCCCCCCCCCUGGCCUCUCCCAGCAGCCUCCCUUCACUCCGUGCCCAUUCACAGUGCCCUUGCCAACCCCUCCCAACAGCAUUCCCAGCCCCCCAGGCUGCCUCCACCCCAGCCCCCCUGCCUGUGCCCCUCUCCACCAGCUCUGAGUGCCACCACUUCCUCUCCUUGCUUCCCUUUGGGCCUCCAGUCUCUUUCCUCCAUCACCCUCCCCUCGGCACAUUCUCUAACACACGCCCAUCGCUGCUCUGCUCACAUCCCACCAGCCCUUCGGAUCCGGCCCCUGUGGACCUCUCUCAUGGGCUCUCCUCCUGUCCCCCACCUCCCAUGUGCCUGCACCAGCCAGGCCCAGGGCCGGCGUUACUCAAAUCCACCACGCUCUGACCUUCAGGCCUCUGUCCACCGGGUUUCCACUGCUUCCUCUUACAACUGAGCUAACUCAACCCUCAAGAGUUGGUCCAAACGAACACCAGUCCUUCAUAAACUCUGCCAAAAUCCAGAGGAAGGCACUCAUUCUAAAAGGCCAGCAUUACCUUGAUACCAAAACCAAAAACCUCACAAGAAAACUACAGACCAAUAUCCCUUAUGAGUGUAAAGUUCCUCACCAAAACACAAGCAAGGUGAAUCCAGCACCACACACAAUGAAUUAUAGACCACGCCUAGUGGGAUUUAACCUAGGAAUGCAAGCUUGAUUUAACAGUCAAAAUUCAAAGAAUGUAGAAAAUUCCUUGGUGGUCCAGUUCUUAAGAGCGCUUUCAUUGCCAGGGCCUGGGUUCAACCCCUGGUGGGGGAAUUAAGAUCUCGAAAGCUGGCUAGAGGCCAAAAGAACCCUCCAAAAGCAAAAUUCAAAGCAUGUAAUACAUUAGCCUACCAGGCUCCUCCAUCCAUGGGAUUUUCCUGGCAAGAGUCCUGGAGUGGGUUGCCAUUGCCUUCUCUCAUAUAUCUAAUAAAGUACAAAAACCACGCAACCGUCUCAACGUGCUGCUCAGAUAUGCAGAUCACACCACCCUUAGGGCGGAAAGCAAAGAGCCUCUUGAGAGCCUCUUGAUGAAAGUGAAAGUGGAGAGUGAAAAGGUUGUUAAAAUUCAACAUUCAGAAAACUAAGAUCAUGGGAUCUGGUCCCAUNNNNNNNNNGUCUCUUACAUUGCAGUCAGAUUCUUUGAGACACCUGGGAGGCCCAAGAAUAUUGGAGUGGGUAGCCUAUCCCUUCUACAGGGGAUCUUUGGACCCAGGAAUCGAUCGGGGUCUCCUGCAUUGCAGGCUCAUUCUUUACCAGCUGAGCUACCAGGGAAGCUCCAACUGUCUCAAUAGAUGCAGAAAAAGCAUGUAACAAAAUCUGGCCAUUCUCCAGGAUAAGAACACUCAAUAGGGAUUUCCCUGGUGGUCCAGUGGCUAAUCCUCUGCACUCUUCAGUACAAGGCGUCGAGGUUAGAUUCCUGGUCAGGGAACUAGAUCCCACGUGCCGCAACUGAGAGUUCGAAGGCCGCAAGGAAAGAAAUCCCGCGUGCAGCAACAAACACUAAACACGCCGUGUGCCACACCUAAGACCCGGCGCAGGCAACUUUUUUCUUUUUUUUUAAGAACAUUCAACAAACUAGGAGUAGGAGGAAAUUUCCUCAACCUGGUGAAGAACAUCAGUGAAAAACCCUGAGCUAACAUCACGAUCAGUGGUGAGUGACCGAAAGCUUCCUCUCCAGGGAGGAACAAGGGAAGGACAUUUUUAUUCACCAUUGAGCCAGAGUUUUGUUCACCAUUGAGCCAGAGUUUCCAGGAAGAAGAAGUAAGAGUUUGCAGGAAGAAGAAAUAAGAGCUAUGUGGAUUGGAAAAGAAAAAGCAAAACUGUUCAGAGAUUAGGUGGUCAGGAAAAACCCCAGGGAUCCACUAAAGAAUGUUUAGAAAUAGUAAACAAGCUCAGCAAGGCGGCAGGACAGCAGAUGGGCACACAAAACUCCAUCGUAUUUCUCUCUGCCAGCAACAAUCUGAAAACGAGACAGGAGCUAGCUCAGCUUUCCCUUCUUCAGGGGUCCUCCCCGACCUAAGAGGGGGCACCCGGGCACAGAAGGGGCACCAGGCUGUCCCACGGGAGGAGCAAAAUGCUGCUGCCCUGGGUGGUGGGGACUGCAGGUGGCCUGGAAGCCGCAGCAAGUGGACACGGAGCCCCCAGCCCACUCCAGUCUGUAAGGAGACCUGGAAUCUUUGUUGGGGCGGGGGCGCUGGAGGCAGAGCUGAGGAGUGAGCAGGGCCCCACCCCCCCCCCCCCC
ensembl:lincRNA